CUCCAGGAUUUCCCUAUGCCCACCUAAAAAUGCUCAAUGACACGCAGCAACAUACUUUCCAUUAUAUUUUUGAUAUAUUUUUACUUUGUCACCUGUUAUUU